GAUGAAGAACGCAGCGAAAUGCGAUAAAUAAUGUGAAUUGCAGAAUUCAGUGAAUCAUCGAGUCUUUGAACGCACAUUGCGCCCCCUGGUAUUCCGGGGGGCAUGCCUGUCCGAGCGUCAUUGCUGCCCUCAAGCACGGCUUGUGUGUUGGGCCUCCGCCCUCCUCCCGGGGGACGGGCCCGAAAGGCAGCGGCGGCACCGCGUCCGGUCCUCGAGCGUAUGGGGCUUCGUCACCCGCUCUUGUAGGCCCGGCCGGCGCUUGCCGACACAUCAAUCUUUUUUCCAGGUUGACCUCGGAUCAGGUAGGGAUACCCGCUGAACUUAAGCAUAUCAAUAAGCGGAGGA
rnacentral:misc_RNA from 1 species